rnacentral:rRNA from 1 species
GAUGAACGCUGGCGGCGUGCCUAAUACAUGCAAGUCGAGCGAACAGAUGAGGAGCUUGCUCCUCUGACGUUAGCGGCGGACGGGUGAGUAACACGUGGAUAACCUACCUAUAAGACUGGGAUAACUUCGGGAAACCGGAGCUAAUAUCGGAUAAUAUAUUGAACCGCAUGGUUCAAUAGUGAAAGACGGUUUUGCUGUCACUUAUAGAUGGAUCCGCGCCGCAUUAGCUAGUUGGUAAGGUAACGGCUUACCAAGGCGACGAUGCGUAGCCGACCUGAGAGGGUGAUCGGCCACACUGGAACUGAGACACGGUCCAGACUCCUGCGGGAGGCAGCAGUAGGGAAUCUUCCGCAAUGGGCGAAAGCCUGACGGAGCAACGCCGCGUGAGUGAUGAAGGUCUUCGGAUCGUAAAACUCUGUUAUUAGGGAAGAACAAAUGUGUAAGUAACUAUGCACGUCUUGACGGUACCUAAUCAGAAAGCCCCGGCUAACUACGUG